UACAGAGGGGGCAAGCGUUGUUCGGAAUUACUGGGCGUAAAGCGCGCGUAGGCGGCUUUGUAAGUUAGAGGUGAAAGCCCGGGGCUCAACCCCGGAACUGCCUUUAAGACUGCAUCGCUUGAAUCCGGGAGAGGUGAGUGGAAUUCCGAGUGUAGAGGUGAAAUUCGUAGAUAUUCGGAAGAACACCAGUGGCGAAGGCGGCUCACUGGACCGGUAUUGACGCUGAGGUGCGAAAGCGUGGGGAGCAAACAGG
rnacentral:rRNA from 1 species